rnacentral:rRNA from 1 species
CUAACAAGGAUUCCCCUAGUAACUGCGAGUGAAGCGGGAAAAGCUCAAAUUUAAAAUCUGGCAGUCUUUGGCUGUCCGAGUUGUAAUCUAGAGAAGUAUUAUCCGCGCUGGACCGUGUACAAGUCUCCUGGAAUGGGGCGUCAUAGAGGGUGAGAAUCCCGUCUUUGACACGGACUGCCAGGGCUUUGUGAUGUGCUCUCAAAGAGUCGAGUUGUUUGGGAAUGCAGCUCAAAAUGGGUGGUAAAUUCCAUCUAAAGCUAAAUAUUGGCGAGAGACCGAUAGCGAACAAGUACCGUGAGGGAAAGAUGAAAAGAACUUUGGAAAGAGAGUUAAACAGUACGUGAAAUUGCUGAAAGGGAAACGCUUGAAGUCAGUCGCGUUGGCCAGGGAUCAACCUUGCUUUUUUGCUUGGCUUACUUUCUGGUCGAUGGGUCAGCAUCAAUUUUGACCGGUGGAAAAAGUUCAAGGGAAUGUGGCAUCUUCGGAUGUGUUAUAGCCUUUGUUCGCAUACAUUGGUUGGGAUUGAGGAACUCAGCACGCCGCAAGGCCGGGUUUUUAACCACGUACGUGCUUAGGAUGCUGGCAUAAUGGCUUUAAUCGACCCGUCUUGAAACACGGACCAAGGAGUCUAACAUGCCUGCGAGUGUUUGGGUGAAAAACCCGAGCGCGUAAUGAAAGUGAAAGUUGAGAUCCCUGUCGUAGGGAGCAUUGACGCCCGGAUCUGACCUUUUGUGACGAUUCUGCGGUAGAGCAUGUAUGUUGGGACCCGAAAGAUGGUGAACUAUGCCUGAAUAGGGUGAAGCCAGAGGAAACUCUGGUGGAGGCUCGUAGCGAUUCUGACGUGCAAAUCGAUCGUCAAAUUUGGGUAUAGGGGCGAAAGACUAAUCGAACC